rnacentral:lncRNA from 1 species
UGACAAACUACUGCGUGGUGCUCAUCAACUUUUCACAUUUACAUCAUGAUUAUAUGCUCCUUAAAGAUAGAGAGACAGCAAGUACGCAGGGGGAGGAGGAACAGACUCCCAAUGGAGCCAGAUUCGGGGCUUGAUACCACAACCCUGAAGUCACGACCGGAACUGAAAUCAAGAGUCAGACACUUAACUGAGCCACCCAGGUGCCCCGCCCUCUUUUUAAAAAUUCUGUUAUUUCUUCCUAAGAUGCUAUUGACACCAUGAAUUCAUUCAAAAGAUAAUAACAUAAAUGUUAAAUGAAUGCAAGGAACUUAAUUUAACUGCGUUAUGC